AGCGGGGUGGGGCAGCCUGGUAGCCCGCCGGGCUCAUAACCCGGAGGUCGGAGGUUCGAAUCCUCCCCCCGCUACCA
rnacentral:tRNA from 1 species